GGGACACGUGGUAUCCUGUCUGAAUAUGGGGGGACCAUCCUCCAAGGCUAAAUACUCCUGACUGACCGAUAGUGAACCAGUACCGUGAGGGAAAGGCGAAAAGAACCCCGGCGAGGGGAGUGAAAAAGAACCUGAAACCGUGUACGUACAAGCAGUGGGAGCCUCUUAAUGGGGUGACUGCGUACCUUUUGUAUAAUGGGUCAGCGACUUAUAUUCUGUAGCAAGGUUAACCGAAUAGGGGAGCCGAAGGGAAACCGAGUCUUAACUGGGCGUUAAGUUGCAGGGUAUAGACCCGAAACCCGGUGAUCUAGCCAUGGGCAGGUUGAAGGUUGGGUAACACUAACUGGAGGACCGAACCGACUAAUGUUGAAAAAUUAGCGGAUGACUUGUGGCUGGGGGUGAAAGGCCAAUCAAACCGGGAGAUAGCUGGUUCUCCCCGAAAGCUAUUUAGGUAGCGCCUCGUGAAUUCAUCUCCGGGGGUAGAGCACUGUUUCGGCAAGGGGGUCAUCCCGACUUACCAACCCGAUGCAAACUGCGAAUACCGGAGAAUGUUAUCACGGGAGACACACGGCGGGUGCUAACGUCCGUCGUGAAGAGGGAAACAACCCAGACCGCCAGCUAAGGUCCCAAAGUCAUGGUUAAGUGGGAAACGAUGUGGGAAGGCCCAGACAGCCAGGAUGUUGGCUUAGAAGCAGCCAUCAUUUAAAGAAAGCGUAAUAGCUCACUGGUCGAGUCGGCCUGCGCGGAAGAUGUAACGGGGCUAAACCAUGCACCGAAGCUGCGGCAGCGACACUAUGUGUUGUUGGGUAGGGGAGCGUUCUGUAAGCCUGUGAAGGUGGCCUGUGAGGGUUGCUGGAGGUAUCAGAAGUGCGAAUGCUGACAUAAGUAACGAUAAAGCGGGUGAAAAGCCCGCUCGCCGGAAGACCAAGGGUUCCUGUCCAACGUUAAUCGGGGCAGGGUGAGUCGACCCCUAAGGCGAGGCCGAAAGGCGUAGUCGAUGGGAAACAGGUUAAUAUUCCUGUACUUGGUGUUACUGCGAAGGGGGGACGGAGAAGGCUAUGUUGGCCGGGCGACGGUUGUCCCGGUUUAAGCGUGUAGGCUGGUUUUCCAGGCAAAUCCGGAAAA
rnacentral:rRNA from 1 species